rnacentral:rRNA from 1 species
UUAUAAGAGACAGCAGCAGCCGCGGUAAUACGUAGGUGGCAAGCGUUGUCCGGAAUUAUUGGGCGUAAAGGGCUCGCAGGCGGUUUCUUAAGUCUGAUGUGAAAGCCCCCGGCUCAACCGGGGAGGGUCAUUGGAAACUGGGAAACUUGAGUGCAGAAGAGGAGAGUGGAAUUCCGCGUGUAGCGGUGAAAUGCGUAGAGAUGUGGAGGAACACCAGUGGCGAGGGCGACUCUCUGGUCUGUAACUGACGCUGAGGAGCGAAAGCGUGGGGAGCGAACAGGAUUAGAUACCCGCGUAGUCCCUGUCUCUUAUAC